GACGAACGCUGGCGGCGUGCUUAACACAUGCAAGUCGAACGGAAAGGCCCUGCUUUUGUGGGGUGCUCGAGUGGCGAACGGGUGAGUAACACGUGAGUAACCUGCCCUUGACUUUGGGAUAACUUCAGGAAACUGGGGCUAAUACCGGAUAGGAGCUCCUGCUGCAUGGUGGGGGUUGGAAAGUUUCGGCGGUUGGGGAUGGACUCGCGGCUUAUCAGCUUGUUGGUGGGGUAGUGGCUUACCAGGGCUUUGACGGGUAGCCGGCCUGAGAAGGUGACCGGCCACAUUGGGACUGAGAUACGGCCCAGACUCCUACGGGAGGCAGCAGUGGGGAAUAUUGCACAAUGGGCGGAAGCCUGAUGCAGCAACGCCGCGUGCGGGAUGACGGCCUUCGGGUUGUAAACCGCUUUCGCCUGUGACGAAGCGUGAGUGACGGUAAUGGGUAAAGAAGCACCGGCUAACUACGUG
rnacentral:rRNA from 1 species